UGAAUGAAAGACGCGCGGCUCGCGAACAAAAUGCAGACACGAGCGCAUUCCACCGCACCAAACUGAAGACUGACGGAAAGUGCCGGGCCAAUCGUGGCCCAAAGGCGCGCGCACUGUACUGCCACCGCUAUCGCUAAAGGGGAUCCAUUCCAGGAAUGGAAGACAAUGGACCUUGUUCAUGACCUUGCAAAAUAGUGUAAAUUGGACCAAGAUUCAAAUGUGCCACUAAUGAACUGGCUUGUUCUGAUGUAAGAGUGUCAAUUUGUGCAUCAGAUUGUGCCUAAAAAAUUUCAUUUUAUCAAUAUCGAUAUAAAAUAUAUAAAAACUUUGUAAAUUAGAACACAUCAAUUGUA